CCAAUAGCGUAUAUUAAAGUUGCUGCAGUUAAAAAGCUCGUAGUUGAAUUUCGGGACUAAUAUGUUGGUCGUGCCUCGGUACGUACUGAUAUUUUUGGUUUCUCCCUUCUGACGAACCUUGAUGUCAUUAAUUUGGUGUCUUGGGAAAUCAGGACUGUUACUUUGAAAAAAUUAGAGUGUUUAAAGCAGGCUCACGCUUGAAUACAUUAGCAUGGAAUAAUGAAAUAGGACGUUUGAUUCUAUUUUGUUGGUUUCUAGGAUCGACGUAAUGAUUAAUAGGGAUAGUUGGGGGCAUUAGUAUUCAAUUGUCAGAGGUGAAAUUCUUGGAUUUAUUGAAGACUAACUACUGCGAAAGCAUUUGCCAAGGAUGUUUUCAUUAAUCAAGAACGAAAGUUAGGGGAUCGAAGACGAUCAGAUACCGUCGUAGUCUUAACCAUAAACUAUGCCGACUAGGGAUCGGAUGAUGUUAAUUUUUUAAUGACUCAUUCGGCGCCUUACG
rnacentral:misc_RNA from 1 species